rnacentral:rRNA from 1 species
UAAUACGUACUGUGCGAACGUUAUUCGGAAUCACUGGGCUUAAAGGGUGCGUAGGCGGUUUAUCAAGUCAGAUGUGAAAUGCCUGAGCUCAACUGAGGCACUGCGUUUGAAACUGAUAGACUUGAGUAUUCCAGGGGUAUGCGGAACUGCCAGUGGAGCGGUGAAAUGCGUUGAUAUUGGCAGGAACACCAGUGGCGAAGGCGGCAUACUGGGGGAUUACUGACGCUGAGGCACGAAAGCCAGGGUAGCGAACGGGAUUAGAUACCCCGGUAGUCCUGGCUGUAAACGAUGAGUACUGGGUGGGAGAAAGCUUGCUUUUUCCUGCCGUAGCGAAAGCAUUAAGUACUCCGCCUGGGGAGUAUGGUCGCAAGGCUG